rnacentral:tRNA from 1 species
GUUUUUAUAGUUGAAAUACAACGAUGGUUUUUCAUGCCGUUAGUCAUGGUUAAAGUCCAUGUGAAAACGU